rnacentral:rRNA from 1 species
UACGGAGGGUGCGAGCGUUGUCCGGAAUCACUGGGCGUAAAGGGCGCGUAGGCGGCCUGGCAAGUCGAUGGUGAAAGCCCGAGGCUCAACUUCGGGUCGGCCACUGAUACUGCUAGGCUUGAGUCGACUAGAGGCAGAUGGAAUUCCGGGUGUAGCGGUGGAAUGCGUAGAGAUCGUGAGGAAUACCAGAGGCGAAGGCGGCUACCUGGACAAUUGCUGACGCUCAGGCACGAAAGCGUGGGGAGCAAAAGGG